UGUGACUUUGCUGUUGGACUCCUGGGAGGAGCCAAGCACCACCAGCUUCACAGGCAGCUGCAGGUCCAGGACGUCAGCGGCGGUGCCUAACUUACUGAGAAUCAUGCCUGCUGUGAUGAUCCCUUGAAAAUCAUCAGGACUGGAUGGUAGGGGUCCUGAGAGGACUGGGGGAGGAGGCCCUGAUAUGACAGAGUGGACAGAGGCUGUGAAACCCAGGACGGCCAGCCUGCUCCAGAAUCCUCAUCCCCACAGACCUUCCUGUGUGGCUCCUAAAUAAGAGGAAACCCAUUCCUGAUAAGUCAGGGGCUUUGAAGAGUGAUUUUGUUUAAAUGGUGCAAACAAGCAAGCCAAUCUUGGGGAGACAGGGCUAAACUAAGUCCUUUAAGAAGCUGUACCUACUGACAAGAUUCUAGUUCCCUUCCACCUUACAUGCUGCAAAGUAAAAAGUAUCACUGAAUGAGAAAAUCAGCAUAAAGAAGCCCAAUAAUGUCUGCCUGAGUUUCCCCUAUGAUGACUUUUGGUACUUUUUGGGGAACAUUAAGUAUGAAGUUAUUUCAAAAUAAUUUUUUGGUGCCUCUGCUUGGUGAUGCCUUAAACUCUGGGUAAGAGAAACACCAGGUGCCUGUCAGGAGAUGGCCUCUUCCAGGUUUCUGGUUAAGCUACAAACAGCUAGCUGGCUGUUGUCAUCAAAAUAAAAGCUUUCUGAAGGUGGAGGCAUCUGAUACCCAGAGUGCUGCUAUCAGCCGGCCCGGUGGGCCACUGGGUGGCAGGAGCGUCGAGAAGGCCAGCUCGCUUCCUAUCUGGGAUUCAGAAUCAGCCAUGGAAACUUGAGAGACCUAGAGAAAAUAACUUCUUUCACUUUGAACUGAUUCUUUGCUUCAUAAGAAAAGUAUUAUCCAGCCACAAAAAUGGUCAAAAUUCAGAUCUACAAAAACCUGUGAGGCCAAAACUGACCCCACUUAGGCCACGCCAAUGAGCAAGUCAUCAAAGCAGCCAAGACAGGUCUUAUGGGGGCCACCCAUGCACAGGGCCCAGCCUCGGUUCCUAACCCCGCCUAUGCUUUACACCACCGUAAAGAGGUCCAUCUGGGUAAGACCUGUCCCGCCCGCCGUGGGGUAUUAGGGCAGAUGGGGUCUGACGGCUCUGAGAGCAGCUGGCAGCUCAAGGGCAUCCGGAGUUGGAGGAUGGAGCAAUGCAGGCCCCUGUGGUAAAGACAGUCCUGCAGCCGGGCAGGCAGGGAUGCUGCAAGUGGAGGGCCAGGUGGGUGCGGAGCCCUGUGGGACUGUGGAGGGGUCAGAGGGAAGCCAGGAUUUUGGGGUCUCUGAGAGUUUGGAGAAGGGGAAGAAAAUUAAAGCUUGGCUCAAAAGUUUCUAAUCAGGUGGGCAGGGCCAAGGGUGGCUGUGGGGUGAGACCCAUGACUCAGGGUGGCCCACUGUUACUCUCUUGAUUUUGCGGCAUUUUUUUCCAAAUUGAUUAUUCUUGCUGAAUGAGACCUGAGUCCUUGACUGUCCCCUUAAAGCCACCUGACUUGUUUUCAGUUCCACUGGCCUGUCGGGCUGUUUUCCACUCAACUCCACUCUUACUUGUCUGCCCUCCCUGCUUGGGGCCCAGCCAGCAGUCAGCUCAAGGGCCAGGUGAAUUGGGUGGCUGUGCUCUGCCCACUGGGCAUCGUGUGGAUGGUGGGUGACCAGCCCCCUCAGGUGCUCAGUCAGGCCUCAAGCCUCGCUGUGUACCUCAGAGCAGCUCAGUACCCUGAUGUCGCAGCAAAGAAACUUAGACAUGACACAAAUUGUGGCUUCCCAAGGCAGCAAAGAAUGGCCAGGGGUCAUGAGGGUCGUGUCCCGCUUUUGGACAGACCUAAAGUCACGCUACCUGCGUGCAAAUCAUAAAAUCAACACUUUUGAGGAGAUCACAGCUAUGCCUUAGUAACACAGCCCAGUCAGACCAGAUAGACGGUGGCUUGUGACCCCGAGAACAAGCCCCCGGCCCCCCACUGUGUGCCCCACCAUGUGUGUGAGCCUUACCUUGGACUGCACGCUGAGGGAGCGGAUGGAAGGGACAGCAAGGAGGCCGAAGCGCUCGUAGAGGUACUCGUUGGAGGAGCUUCCCUUCAGGAGAGCGAAAGGAAUGAGGUAGAGCUCCCCCUCCAGAACCAGGAUGAGCUGCCGGUGCCGGCCCACGGGGCCGCUGGAGUGCAUCAGGCCCUAUGGAGCAAGCACGGAGAGGCUGACAAGGGUGGCCCAGCAGGCAGGGGUUUCAGGCACCAGGACAACCCUGAGCCCUAGCCUGGAUGACACAAGCACAAGCAGGUGAGGCCUGUGGGUGUGUGGGGCGCCAUGGGCUGUGGGGCGCCAUGGGGCAUGGGCCGAGUUGCAGCCCUGCAGGAGCGGCACCAACUGGCAUGCUCGCUUGUGGACUGGCAAGGACUGGCCUGGCAGCAUCCAUCUGCCUCACAGUCCUGAGAAGGUUAGAGGACAGUUUCUUGAAGUUCACAAGAACCUGAAGUAGGUAGGAGACUGGUCUGUACUGCACAGGCACCCUGAGAAGGGGUGGGAAUGGCCCCUCUCAAAACAAGAUCUGUUUUCCAUUUCAGUGGACAAGAGGCUAGAAAAUCACAGUGAGGACGGGAGGUCUGGGGGCUGGCAUGACAGCCCCUGUAGAAGGGGACGGGCUGGGUUCUAGGACCUUUUGUGACCUCCUCUGAGAAAGAGUAGCCCCUUGGCUCUGGGCUUGGGAGGUGCUGUCCCCGCUUGUUCCCUCCGGGGAUGUCAGGGGACCCAAUGCAUGGAUGACUCCCAUCCCUCUUGAAAGGCCGGGCAUGAGGACUCGAGGCAGGGUGCGCACAGGGCCACAGCAGACACAGGCUCAUUCCCGUUCACUGCAGAACAACGCUAAGGCCACGGGCAUCUUAAUGAGAGCAGCAGGCAGCAAUCCUGGAAGCUGGGUCCACACAGACUGAGGUGAACAAAGAGGUGGCAUGGAAGCUGCUGCUGCAGCCCAGAGCCUGCCAAGAAGGUCCCAGGUCCACAGAGCCUGCGCAACACUGGGUGCCAGGGGUGGGGCUGGCCUGCCCCCCAACCCCAUCUGCUGAGGAGUGGCUGACAAGAGGACACCCACCAGGGUGCCACUCGCUUGUGCCUGGGGAAGCAAAUGUGCUCGCUUGACCCGUCUGAUGUGCUGCCGUGGGCACUUGACUGAGAGUGGCAGGGCACUAGGCUAACCCAAAGUGACACAUGCCUGGCGGGUCGUUCAGUCUCUGUAAACCCCUAUGGUUUUUUUUUUUUCUCUGUUUUAAAAAAAAUUUCUAGCUCCAUCUAGUGAAAGCAGAAAUAAAAAUUAUUAGGCCAA